AUACGUAGGUGGCGAGCGUUGUCCGGAAUUACUGGGCGUAAAGGAUGCGUAGGUGGAUACUUAAGUGGGAUGUGAAAUCCCCGGGCUCAACCCGGGAACUGCAUUCCAAACUGGGUAUCUAGAGUGCAGGAGAGGAAAGCGGAAUUCCUAGUGUAGCGGUGAAAUGCGUAGAUAUUAGGAAGAACACCGGUGGCGAAGGCGGGUAUCUGGAAAGGAACUGACGCUGAGGCGCGAAAGCGUGGGGAGCAAACAGGAUUAGAUACCCUGGUAGUCCACGCUAUAAACGAUGAAUACUAGGUGUAGGGGGUAUCGACCCCCUCUGUGCCGACGUUAACACAGUAAGUAAUCCACCUGGGGAGUACGGUCGCAAGAUUAAAACUCAAAUGAAUUGACGGGG
rnacentral:rRNA from 1 species